rnacentral:lncRNA from 1 species
GUUGUGUCUGGCUAAUUCCCUGGAAAGAAAGAGGCUAACUGCUCCGGGGACUAGGGACUUUGGUGAGACAAGGUGAGAGGGGGAAAAAGGCCCAUAUCUUUACGUUCUCCCUCGGACUUGGCCAGAGAAGAACCACAGUCACCUUGCACUCCAGACAGCCAGAAAGCAGCGAGUCGGAAUGUUGCUUGCCUCCCUCUUAUCCCAGCCGGUUUUUAGCCAUCGCUAAGCCUAGGGCGAGGUUUCGGUCCGGUUUCAGCGUUUCUCCUCUACCUAGCCCCCUGAGGACCCCAGAUUUCUCGCGGUACAGAUCCAGAGAGGGUGGGCGCCCAGCGAUCCGCUCGGCUCGGCCCUGACAGGCGUAAUCUGCCCGGCGUCACCUCCAGCUGCUUCCUCGUUCUCGCUAGUUCCCUCUCGCACGCGAGCGCCAGGAGAAGAGAGAGAUUCGGAGAGGCGGCUGCACGGCUCCGGGGAGACGAGCGGCGGUUUUGCCUCAGUGCUUUUCCCCGGGGUUCCCCCAGAUCUGUGACCCUGCGACGCUUCCUUGAGCGAA